rnacentral:rRNA from 3 species
UCGUUAAAACUUUCAACAACGGAUCUCUUGGUUCUGGCAUCGAUGAAGAACGCAGCGAACUGCGAUAAGUAAUGCGAAUUGCAGAAUUCAGCGAGCCAUCGAAUCUUUGAACGCACAUUGCGCCCGCCAGCAUUCUGGCGGGCAUGCCUGUCCGAGCGUCAUUUCCUCCCUCACGC